AAGAGAAAGAAAAUUCGAUUCCCUUAGUAGCGGCGAGCGAAACGGGAAGAGCCCAAACCAACAAGCUUGCUUGUUGGGGUUGUAGGACACUCUAUACGGAGUUACAAAGGACGACAUUAGACGAAUCAUCUGGAAAGAUGAAUCAAAGAAGGUAAUAAUCCUGUAGUCGAAAAUGUUGUCUCUCUUGAGUGGAUCCUGAGUACGACGGAGCACGUGAAAUUCCGUCGGAAUCUGGGAGGACCAUCUCCUAAGGCUAAAUACUCUCUAGUGACCGAUAGUGAACCAGUACCGUGAGGGAAAGGUGAAAAGCACCCCGGAAGGGGAGUGAAAUAGAACCUGAAACCGUGUGCUUACAAGUAGUCAGAGCCCGUUAAUGGGUGAUGGCGUGCCUUUUGUAGAAUGAACCGGCGAGUUACGAUUUGAUGCAAGGUUAAGCAGUAAAUGUGGAGCCGUAGCGAAAGCGAGUCUGAAUAGGGCGUUUAGUAUUUGGUCGUAGACCCGAAACCAGGUGAUCUACCCUUGGUCAGGUUGAAGUUCAGGUAACACUGAAUGGAGGACCGAACCGACUUACGUUGAAAAGUGAGCGGAUGAACUGAGGGUAGCGGAGAAAUUCCAAUCGAACCUGGAGAUAGCUGGUUCUCUCCGAAAUAGCUUUAGGGCUAGCCUCAAGUGAUGAUUAUUGGAGGUAGAGCACUGUUUGGACGAGGGGCCCCUCUCGGGUUACCGAAUUCAGACAAACUCCGAAUGCCAAUUAAUUUAACUUGGGAGUCAGAACAUGGGUGAUAAGGUCCGUGUUCGAAAGGGAAACAGCCCAGACCACCAGCUAAGGUCCCAAAAUAUAUGUUAAGUGGAAAAGGAUGUGGCGUUGCCCAGACAACUAGGAUGUUGGCUUAGAAGCAGCCAUCAUUUAAAGAGUGCGUAAUAGCUCACUAGUCGAGUGACACUGCGCCGAAAAUGUACCGGGGCUAAACAUAUUACCGAAGCUGUGGAUUGUCCUUUGGACAAUGGUAGGAGAGCGUUCUAAGGGCGUUGAAGCAUGAUCGUAAGGACAUGUGGAGCGCUUAGAAGUGAGAAUGCCGGUGUGAGUAGCGAAAGACGGGUGAGAAUCCCGUCCACCGAUUGACUAAGGUUUCCAGAGGAAGGCUCGUCCGCUCUGGGUUAGUCGGGUCCUAAGCUGAGGCCGACAGGCGUAGGCGAUGGAUAACAGGUUGAUAUUCCUGUACCACCUAUAAUCGUUUUAAUCGAUGGGGGGACGCAGUAGGAUAGGCGAAGCGUGCGAUUGGAUUGCACGUCUAAGCAGUAAGGCUGAGUAUUAGGCAAAUCCGGUACUCGUUAAGGCUGAGC
rnacentral:rRNA from 1 species